rnacentral:sRNA from 1 species
AAAAGCUCAACAAUGUUAUAAUACAAGGAAGGAGAAUAAACACGAAAAACCAUGGAUCCCCCUCGUAGUGGCCAGGAUGUGAACCGAUGUGACGUUUGUGAGACCGCCAUAGUACACAGCUACUGCGACUUUUGUCAUGUCAACCUAUGCAUAACUUGUAUAGGCAAACAUAUCUUAGAUGGAUAUGACAAACAUAAAAUAGUCCCCUUUCAGGAACGAAGAUCAACACUCAUUUAUCCGGAAUGUAAAACACAUCCGCAUAAAAAUUGCAAAUUUCAUUGCAAGGAUUGCAACAACAUCUUUGUUUGUUCUUCCUGUAUGGCAUCUGAUCAGCACAAGGGACAUAGCUUUGUUGAAGUCACAGAGGUGUACAAGACAAAGAAAGACAUUAUUAAAAAAGAUACAAAAGAAUAUGAAACCUUAAUUUCUCCUAAAUAUGAAAAAAUUGUCCUGAAAUUGGAAAAUCAGCUGGCCAACCUGGAUGGAGGAUAUGAGUAACUUACAACAGAAAUGUCCAAACAAGGAGAGCAAUGGCACAAAGAAAUUGACAUCAUUAUCAACAAAAUGAAAACUGACCUCAGCGAGAUAAAAGAUAAACACAGAGACAUUUUACAGAAACACUUGGAUGAAAUCAAACAGAUACAGUCCAUUAUAAAACAAACAUUACUUGCCAUUAAAGAAAUAAAGAAAUCCACGGAAAUAUCUCAAGCCAUUGAAUACAAGUCGAAGAUCAGAGAGUUUAGUAAGCUUCCACCCAAAGUUAAGGUUACAAUGCCAACAUUCAUUCCAAACCCAAUAGAUUGUGAGAAUCUGUAUAGUUUGUUUGGCCAGAUCACCCCAUUAUCUACUACCACAGAAGAAAAUGUUUUUUCACUAAACCAGCCCAACACUUUGGUGAAAGAACGACUGGAUGAACCAGAGCUUGUUACCACAAUACAGACUGGGUAUCAAAAUCUACGCAGUGUUGCCUAUAUGAACGAUGACAAGAUAUGGACUAGUGGACGGACCAAUGAUAUCAAAUGCUUCAAUAUUUACGGUUUACUCCAACAGACAAUUUUUACAAAAUCAGGAGAACGGCCUUUUGAUAUUGCUGUAGACGUUACUGGGGAUCUACUGUACUCGGAUGGGACAGUAGGGACAGUGAAUAAAGUGAAGAAUGGACAGACAGAAGUGUUGAUCAGAUUACAUGGAUGGAAGCCUUGUCAACUAUAUGUCACCUCUACUGGUGAUCUCCUGGUCACUACGUACUGUGAAGAUGAAACCCAAUCCAAAAUUGUCCGUUACUCAGGAUCCACAGAGAAACAAACAAUUCAAUAUGAUGAUGAAGGGAAACCUUUAUACUCGAUGAAAGAUAAAAUUAGAUACAUAACAGAAAACAGAAACCAUGACAUCUGUGUAGCUGACUGUGAAGCUAGUGCAGUAGUGGUAGUUAAUCAGGAAGGGAAACUCAGAUGGAGAUACACUGGUCAUCCCUUGGGUACAAAGAACAAACCAUUUGAAUCACGCGGUAUCACAACAGAUAGUCAGAGUCGUAUCCUGACAGCAGAUUAUUACAACCAUUGUGUCCACAUUCUGGAUCAGAAUGGACAGUUUCUCAGUUACAUUGAUAAAUGUGAUCUGAAGAAUCCCUGGGGUUUAUGCGUGGACAACAAUGACAGUCUGUUUGUGUGUGAAUACGACAAAGGCAAUGUAAAGAAAAUAAAAUAUCUGAAAUAGUUUGAGUUUUAGACAAAAACAAAUCAGGAAUUGAAAAGUAAAUAUAUUGUAAGAUUGUUUUCUUUCGAUAUUGUUCUGUUUUUAUAAUAAUUUUUAUGAUCAAAUUAUAUAUUAUUAUAAGGUUAUAGGAUGAAAUUUAAAACUCAAUUGCAAGGAAAAUAUUUAUUUUACAGGUCUGGCCUCAAAAGUAAAUAUUUACAAUAUUUUUUAUGUUUUCAUCCUCUUAAGUGGCUAAUAUUUUCUAUUGAUAUUUAUAAAUUGAUGAUUUCCAAUUGAAAUUUAUUUGUGUGGUUUUGCUCCUUUUAAUGAAGUAUAUGGUUAUUUAGCAUUCUUUAGAAAAUAUGUAAAGUCAAUAAUGUUCAACAGAUUGUACGAUGUAUUUAUUUGUGUAUAUCUGAAUUUAUUAAAUUUACUUUGAAGAAUAUGCAAGCAUGCAAUAUUUACAUCU